GAAGGAGAAGUCGUAACAAGGUCUCCGUAGGUGAACCUGCGGAGGGAUCAAUAAUACAAUUAAAAAAAUUAAAAACUACAACUUUUGGUUUAAGUCUACUUAAUAUAAAUAGACUCAAAAGUUAACUUAUCUUCAAUAUUUUCUUAGAGAAAGUUUCCUAGAAACUUUUCUUUAGGUUAAAACAAAACGAGUUGGUAUUAACAACUCGAGACAAUGGAUUCCUUGGGUCUCGAAUC
rnacentral:misc_RNA from 1 species